GUUUUUGUAUGUGAGAGGCAGAGAAAAAGCGUUUGAGAGAGCGGGGGCUGACGGAGGGAAGACAAACCGAGAGUUAAGAGUGUGUGAAAGAGAGAUACGGCGAGAGAGGGGGGGAUUUGUAAGGCACUUUGUAUUUGCAAACUACUAGAUGAAUUACCAUUGGAAACAGGCAGUGGAUCAGACAGACAGACAGUGUGUGUGUGUGUGUGUGUGUGUGUGGGGGACAGAUACAGAAGGUGGGAGGGAGAGGGGAGGAGGGAGAGGCAAGAACCCGUUCCCCUCAGUUCCACACCAACUUUUCAUCGUGUGCACUUGAGGGAAGUUACUCCCCGGCUAUGGAAGCGUUUUUCUUUUCUUCUUCCCCCCUUUUUUUUCCUUCUUUUUUCCCCCUACACCUUUUAACAUUCGGCAGUAACAUCGGCAGAACAAGAAAAUAACUGAAUAACUUUCCACUGUUGUUCAGCACAGCAGAGUGGGACGUGUGUGUGUGUGUGUGUGUGUGUGUGGAGGAGGAGAGGAAUGUGAAGAUGGAAGACACCGGGGGAAACAAGGGAGUGCGGCUCUGUGCUCAAUGAGGUGAGAGUCUUCUUAGCAGUCACAAGUUUCCUCUCAGCAGCGGAAGAGGAAAAUGACAGGUAUUCACCACAGCUGCACGAACCACCACUCCAGGACACCCGACACCACGGCUCUCUCCUCCUCAACUGCCAGCGCCCUCUCCACAUCAUCAAGGAACUCAACGCCAGCAUGGGUGGCGGGCAUUGAAUGGAGCUUGCCGGCCGAGAGCAUAAAGCAUCAUGUGGGCGUCAGCAUCACGUCCUGCACAUGUGAGGAUGUCAGAUGGACGACUACAGGGUGACAUGUUUGUCCUGGUGACCUCAGUAAACAUUCAACGCUGUCGGUGAGUUUGAGCAUCCGUCCAAAACCAUCGACCGUUGACUGUACCCUGAGGUCCACCAUUAAACAAGGCCGCCGGGCAAAGAAGGAUGUGGUACUUCCUCUAAAUCUCCCACGAUUCACCUGAAUCUUCAGUGAAUUCCCAUGCCGGAGUGGUUCCGAGGCCAAACGCAUAAGACUGCAAUAAACAUUCAUUGCUGUCGGUGGGUUUACAUGAGAACAACUCACUGAUCAAUGAAUGCAGACUGCGGUACAAACACCUCGAGGCCUUUGUUUUAGCUGGGAGUGUCGGGAGAACCAAUAAGAUGGCAUAGUAAAGCAGGCGGUAAUGUUAAAAGAACUGUAGUUUCUACCGUGGAAACACCACUGUCAAAUAUAGCUAUGCUAUUUUUUAUAACGUACUGACAUUUCAUUCUUGCACAUCAUGAUUCUUGUUUUUAUGCACCCUUUAUUUAAACUUGAACAUUUGUUUUUAGAUUAAAAGUCUCCUUUUCAGCAGAGUUGCUCUGGCCAAGAUGAUAGUACUAGAAGGCCGACUGCAGUGCUUUGCACACAGCAGGGAGUGUAACGCUUGCAUUAUGCCAAAACAAAAGAGCCAGAAAUAGAGUUGGAACUCAGCAAAUUGUGGUGAGAACAAUUACAGGGGGAAGAACGCAGUACUUUUUUUGAAAUAUUUUCAGUUUCGGUUGAAGUCAACCUUCUCAAAUAAAAAGUGAAA
ensembl:lncRNA